rnacentral:rRNA from 1 species
AGAGUUUGAUCCUGGCUCAGAGUGAACGCUGGCGGUAGGCCUAACACAUGCAAGUCGAACGGCAGCACAGUAAGAGCUUGCUCUUACGGGUGGCGAGUGGCGGACGGGUGAGGAAUACAUCGGAAUCUACUUUUUCGUGGGGGAUAACGUAGGGAAACUUACGCUAAUACCGCAUACGACCUACGGGUGAAAGCAGGGGAUCUUCGGACCUUGCGCGAUUGAAUGAGCCGAUGUCGGAUUAGCUAGUUGGCGGGGUAAAGGCCCACCAAGGCGACGAUCCGUAGCUGGUCUGAGAGGAUGAUCAGCCACACUGGAACUGAGACACGGUCCAGACUCCUACGGGAGGCAGCAGUGGGGAAUAUUGGACAAUGGGCGCAAGCCUGAUCCAGCCAUACCGCGUGGGUGAAGAAGGCCUUCGGGUUGUAAAGCCCUUUUGUUGGGAAAGAAAUCCAGCUGGUUAAUACCCGGUUGGGAUGACGGUACCCAAAGAAUAAGCACCGGCUAACUUCGUGCCAGCAGCCGCGGUAAUACGAAGGGUGCAAGCGUUACUCGGAAUUACUGGGCGUAAAGCGUGCGUAGGUGGUUGUUUAAGUCUGUUGUGAAAGCCCUGGGCUCAACCUGGGAACUGCAGUGGAAACUGGACGACUAGAGUGUGGUAGGGGGUAGCGGAAUUCCUGGUGUAGCAGUGAAAUGCGUAGAGAUCAGGAGGAACAUCCAUGGCGAAAGCAGCUACCUGGACCAACACUGACACUGAGGCACGAAAGCGUG